rnacentral:tRNA from 1 species
UUGGAGAUAGUUUAAUAAAAAUAGUAUUCUUACAAAAUACAGAUGUCUUUUGAUUUUUCAUU